AUAAGAACACUUUCUAGGAAAAUAUAAUUUACAAGCUUAAACUGCACAGCAAGAAAGAAACAGAAUCCAAGAAAAUAAGCUUAAAUUGCAAAUCAGUAGCUUGUAUAAAGUUCUGCUCAAAAUGACACACAUCUGUGGCUGUGCUCACCUUGGAAAACUACAGAAAGCAGUAAAUGGUCCCUCAUGAGUUACUGGUUUCUGAGAUCAGUGUCCUGAUAGGCCUUUUUCUUCUUCCUCCAACUUAAAAUCUCCAGUGAAUUCAACACAUGGAAUUCAAUGAUUUGCCAAGGUGGUCCCUUCUUUCAUCUAAUGUUAUACACAAAUCUAUGCAGAUAUUCCCACAAGCUUCAACAGCUAGUCAAAUUUAAAAUUUUAGGCAUUUUGCAAGAGCAAGGCAACAAAAAUAAAGCAAAGAUCAGCAAGUUUUCAUCACAAACAAUUUCCUGUGGCUCCUACAGUUCUAGUUGUCUGCUUUUUCUUCCUUCUUUUAUUUUUUCUUCAUUAAUUUGCA
rnacentral:lncRNA from 1 species